GCUGGCGGCAGGCCUAACACAUGCAAGUCGAGCGCCGUAGCAAUACGGAGCGGCAGACGGGAGAGUAACACGUGGGAACGUGCCCUUCAGUUCGGAACAACCCAGGGAAACUUGGGCUAAUACCGGAUACGUCCGAAAGGAGAAAGAUUUAUCGCUGAAGGAUCGGCCCGCGUCUGAUUAGCUAGUUGGUGAGGUAACGGCUCACCAAGGCGACGAUCAGUAGCUGGUCUGAGAGGAUGAUCAGCCUCACUGGGACUGAGACACGGCCCAGACUCCUACGGGAGGCAGCAGUGGGGAAUAUUGGACAAUGGGCGCAAGCCUGAUCCAGCCAUGCCGCGUGGAUGAUGAAGGCCCUAGGGUUGUAAAGUCCUUUCGGCGGGGAAGAUAAUGACGGUACCCGCAGAAGAAGCCCCGGCUAACUUCGUGCCAGCAGCCGCGGUAAUACGAAGGGGGCUAGCGUUGCUCGGAAUCACUGGGCGUAAAGCGCACGUAGGCGGCUUUUUAAGUCA
rnacentral:rRNA from 1 species